UACGAAGGGGGCUAGCGUUGCUCGGAAUCACUGGGCGUAAAGGGUGCGUAGGCGGGUCUUUAAGUCAGGGGUGAAAUCCUGGAGCUCAACUCCAGAACUGCCUUUGAUACUGAGGAUCUUGAGUUCGGGAGAGGUGAGUGGAACUGCGAGUGUAGAGGUGAAAUUCGUAGAUAUUCGCAAGAACACCAGUGGCGAAGGCGGCUCACUGGCCCGAUACUGACGCUGAUGCACGAAAGCGUGGGAGCAAACAGG
rnacentral:rRNA from 1 species